GAGAUUUCCGAAUGGGGGAACCCAGCAUCUUUUAUAGGAUGUUACUUUUCAGUGAAUACAUAGCUGAUUAGAGGUAGACGCAGAGAACUGAAACAUCUAAGUACCUGCAGGAAGAGAAAGAAAAUUCGAUUCCCUGAGUAGCGGCGAGCGAAACGGGAAAAGCCCAAACCAAGAGGCUUGCCUCUUGGGGUUGUAGGACUCCGAUAUGGUAGUCCAGUGAAAUAGUCGAAGGACCUGGAAAGGUCUGCUAGAAAGGGUAAAAGCCCCGUAGACAAAAUUUGACUGGCACCUAGGAGGAUCCUGAGUACGGCGGAACACGAGGAAUUCCGUCGGAAUCCGGGAGGACCAUCUCCCAAGGCUAAAUACUCCCUAGUGACCGAUAGUGAACCAGUANAUAGCGUGCCUUUUGUAGAAUGAACCGGCGAGUUACGAUUACUUGCGAGGUUAAGUUGAAAAGACGGAGCCGUAGCGAAAGCGAGUCUGAAUAGGGCGAAUGAGUAAGUGGUCGUAGACCCGAAACCAUGUGAUCUACCCAUGUCCAGGUUGAAGGUGCGGUAAAACGCACUGGAGGACCGAACCCACGUACGUUGAAAAGUGCGGGGAUGAGGUGUGGGUAGCGGAGAAAUUCCAAACGAACUUGGAGAUAGCUGGUU
rnacentral:ncRNA from 1 species